rnacentral:ncRNA from 1 species
CUUUGCAUUGCUCUGUCGGGGCGUAGACCUCUAAAAAGGUAACGGAGGCGUGCAAAGGUUUCCUCGGGCCAGACGGACAUUGGUUCUCGAGUGCAAAGGCAGAAGGGAGCUUGACUGCAAGAUUCAACCGUCGAGCAGAGACUAAAGUCGGUCUUAGUGACCGACGGGGACGAGUGGAAGGGCCAUCGCUCAACGGAUAAAAG